rnacentral:rRNA from 1 species
CACUAUGCCUAGCCCUAAACAUUGACAGUUAAUUACACCCACUGUCCGCCUGGGAACUACGAGCACCAGCUUAAAACCCAAAGGACUUGGCGGUGCUUUAGACCCACCUAGAGGAGCCUGUUCUAGAACCGAUAAUCCCCGUUAAACCUCACCCUUCCUUGUCAUUUCCGCCUAUAUACCACCGUCGCCAGCUUACCCUGUGAAGGCCCAAUAGUAAGCGCAAUCGGCAAUGCCCAAAACGUCAGGUCGAGGUGUAGCGUAUGGAAGGGGAAGAAAUGGGCUACAUUUACUAACACAGUAAAUACGGAUGAUUACCCUGCAACGAGUAUCUGAAGGAGGAUUUAGCAGUAAGCAAAAAGCAGAGUGUUUUGCUGAAAUUGGCCCUGAAGCGUGCACACACCGCCCGUCACUCUCUCCGAACUAAAACCUUAAACAUAACUAAUAUGCUUUAACUGUAAAGGGGAGGCAAGUCGUAA